UUUUUAUUAAGUACAAAAAAUACGGUAGAUACCUUUCCAAAAUAAUGGAAUUAACGAGUUGGAAUGAACUAUCCAAUAUCUUAGACGAGAAUCAUAAGUUAAGAAUGAUUAUUUAUCUGGAACAAAAACUGCUUCCAGAACAAGAAUUUGGAAUGCAUAGCGAAUUUUUUAGCUCAGUUCUGAUUUAUGAAUGGGGGUUGCGUGUUUUCAUGAAAAUACAUAAUUUUUCAAACCGACAAGAUGCUCUAGAACACAUCAGGUUGCAGGAAGAUAUGGUCAUUUACGAACGUGACUAAGUGUAAGUCCAAUGUAUCGGGCCACGGUCCAUUUGCCUUAUCCUCAGAGGCGUAGGAGAUGUUUCCCGCGGCUCUGCACAUGACUAAUAAUAUGGAAAUAUUUAAAUCAAUUUCAUCAGUAUUCGUCUUCAUCGCUGCGGCUUCUAGUACGAUCUAGCUCCGAUGUUUUGUAUAUUGCCUCCAGUGGUCUUAUUAUUAAUAUUAUUACCAAUAAAAAAAUACAAAAUUGAUGCGAUGAACAAAAUGUAUUGGGUCUAUUUCACACCAUACCGAAAUGAUCAAAUAUGACCGAUCUUGAACAUGGCAUAUCUGUAUACAAAAGCAGCAUUUUUGAUUUGUUGUUUAGAAUAGUAUGUUAAUAAUCGAAAGGGGUGAAAUGUAUUUAUAUCAGCUUUUGUUUUCUAACUCUUAGUUAUUCGCAAUCUCUUUCCAAAGAUUCAUAUAAAUAUCUACAAUGGUUAUUAUAGUUUAUUCGAUUGCCAAAUUUCUCCGCAGAAUACUUUUGUGAACAUGGCUGCACUUCAAUUAAAUUGUUGCACUUUGUAUGAAAAUCUUCAGCUUGCGAAAAAACUAAGAUUCAGUAUAGUAUGUAGUAGAUGUUAAAAAACUGAAUUUGAAUCAACUUCCGUUUAUCAAAAUUUGCCGUAUAGUAUGUUAUUUACUGUUGUCGCUCUCACAUCAUACAUGUAAUGUUCGAAUGAUCACUUGAAGAAUACCUUCUUCAUCAGGAAAAGCCUUGGUUUUCCUCGUUCAGUUGAGCUGCUCUCAGAAAGUUAUCCGGAUAUCAUGGCCUAGCUACUACCUGGUCGUAGUGGCAAAUGCGUUGUAUGAAAAAGAUCGAAGUUUUUCUAAAUGCAAAAUGCCAAACGAAGAAGGAAAACUUGUCGUUAAACAGCCGAAUUUGCUACUCCCAUGCAGAUUAACACAAUUAUCCAAUUGAACAGCAUAAAUACAAACACUUUCAUCAUCGCCAGGUAUUUGCUGACCUUAUACA